GAUCAUGGUAGUUUUAAACUCAAACCGCUAGGCCGUGGCCCUAGCAAUAGAAGACCCACCCAUACCUUCUCCAUGACC
rnacentral:tRNA from 1 species